UCCUACGGGAGGCAGCAGUAGGGAAUCUUCCGCAAUGGACGAAAGUCUGACGGAGCAACGCCGCGUGAGUGAUGAAGGUUUUCGGAUCGUAAAGCUCUGUUGUUAGGGAAGAACAAGUGCCGUUCAAAUAGGGCGGCACCUUGACGGUACCUAACCAGAAAGCCACGGCUAACUACGUGCCAGCAGCCGCGGUAAUACGUAGGUGGCAAGCGUUGUCCGGAAUUAUUGGGCGUAAAGGGCUCGCAGGCGGUUUCUUAAGUCUGAUGUGAAAGCCCCCGGCUCAACCGGGGAGGGUCAUUGGAAACUGGGGAACUUGAGUGCAGAAGAGGAGAGUGGAAUUCCACGUGUAGCGGUGAAAUGCGUAGAGAUGUGGAGGAACACCAGUGGCGAAGGCGACUCUCUGGUCUGUAACUGACGCUGAGGAGCGAAAGCGUGGGGAGCGAACAGGAUUAGAUACCC
rnacentral:rRNA from 1 species